UACAGAGGUCCCAAGCGUUGUUCGGAUUCAUUGGGCGUAAAGGGUGCGUAGGCGGCGCGGUAAGUCGGGUGUGAAAUCUCGGGGCUUAACUCCGAAACUGCAUUCGAUACUGCCGUGCUUGAGGACUGGAGAGGAGACUGGAAUUUACGGUGUAGCGGUGAAAUGCGUAGAGAUCAGGAAGAACACCAGUGGCGAAGGCGCUCUGCUAGGCCGUAACUGACACUGAGGGACGAAAGCUAGGGGAGCGAAUGGG
rnacentral:rRNA from 1 species